rnacentral:rRNA from 1 species
AUACGGAGGGUGCGAGCGUUAUCCGGAUUUAUUAGGUUUAAAGGGUGUGUAGGCGGGAGCCUAAGUCAGUGGUGAAAUCUCACAGCUUAACUGUGAAACUGCCAUUGAAACUGGGUCUCUUGAGUAUAGUUGAGGUAGGCGGAAUGUGUAAUGUAGCGGUGAAAUGCAUAGAUAUUACACAGAACACCGAUUGCGAAGGCAGCUUACUAAGCUAUUACUGACGCUGAUGCACGAAAGCGUGGGUAGCGAACAGGAUUAGAAACCCCAGUAGCCC